AUUUUUCAUCUCAACCAAAUACUUUAGCGCAUAUAAAAAUGGCACAGACUUCCCAACCAGAGUAAUACAAAUAAAUGUACGAGCUUGUAAAAAAUGGCAUAGACCUCCCAACCAGAGUAAUACAAAUAUUAUGGGAAAUUGAAAAAACAUCAAUUGGACAAAUCAUAGUGCUUGUAAAUGUUGGCAUAGACCUCCCAACCAGAGUAAUACAAAUAUUACGGGAAGUUGAACAACAGUAAUCACACAAAUCAUAUGUAAAAUAACAAGCAACAAUGACA